AUUUUUGCGCUGUGGCAAUAUCAUAGCCAAUGAGAUUUAUCCAAGGCAUGAUUACUACUAAUUGAAAAACAAAGAUACAAAGCC
rnacentral:snRNA from 1 species